UGGGGAAUAUUGCGCAAUGGGCGAAAGCCUGACGCAGCAACGCCGCGUGCGGGAUGAAGGCCUUCGGGUUGUAAACCGCUUUCAGCAGGGAAGAAGCGAAAGUGACGGUACCUGCAGAAGAAGCACCGGCUAACUACGUGCCAGCAGCCGCGGUAAUACGUAGGGUGCAAGCGUUGUCCGGAUUUAUUGGGCGUAAAGAGCUCGUAGGCGGUUUGUUACGUCGGAUGUGAAAACUCAGAGCUUAACUCUGAGCCUGCAUCCGAUACGGGCAGACUUGAGUAUGGUAGGGGAGACUGGAAUUCCUGGUGUAGCGGUGAAAUGCGCAGAUAUCAGGAGGAACACCGGUGGCGAAGGCGGGUCUCUGGGCCAUAACUGACGCUGAGGAGCGAAAGCGUGGGGGGCAAACA
rnacentral:rRNA from 1 species